CGGGAGUGGUUGUUUCUUAUUAAGAAUAACAAUUUCACAAUGGAAGUUUCUAUAUUGAGUCAACGAUUAAUGAAAAAUAACAACGUCGGCGUACCUUUUAUCGUGCUUUGUCCAAGUUAGAUUAUAUGGACCGACGGAGCAAUCUUAUGGAAUGGAGCUACUGAAAUCUUAAUUCGAGUCGGCGCGUUGUGCCAUUGGAUACGUCGACUGGGGGUGGCGCCUUUCAAAAGCGACGCUUACAAGCACGUUACACACACGGUUAGAUAAGCAGAAACCAUGUUGGAAAAAUUACAAGGGAAACUUUUAGCAAGCAGUAUCGAUGUGUACAAAUUUCUUUUCUUUUUUUUUUUUUUUUUUUUUGAAAAGAUACGAAGACAAAUUAGACCACAAACGUAUUUGGAAUUAUAAUGAUAACGAAAUCUGGUUGCGGUAAUUGAAUAGGACAACGAUGAAAGAGAACAGAAGGAAAACAAAAAAGUUCGUGUUACGCAAGAUAAAAUUGGAAGAUCCACUUGAAGGCGAUGAUCAAGUUGAGCCUUGUAGAAUCGCAUACGAUCAUUUAAGAGUGUGGGGGGAAAGGGUUUGGGAUUGUGUGGGAAGGUUAAACGAGAACGAGUUAGAGACGGGAUACGAUUCUGCUUGUCUCUGGGACGGAAGUGACGUCGCAGUCACCAGCGGAAAUUCGUACUGGAAAUUCCGAUGGGUUCGAGAGGUUGUGGGAGAAAGAUAGGAUAAUGGUGUUAGUCCUUGUUAGACUAAACAGUUAUCCAGAGAUUUGGGUAGACCCAAGUACCAUUCUUGCUCGAGUUUCCUCAGAAUCCUUGGGAUUGUUUGAAUAAGAUGCCAAUUGAACUUGUCGAUGACAUCGCUGGACCAAGAUCAAACGGACAUUCCGUAUUUUUCACACUGUUAUGUGUAUACAUAUAUAUAUAUAUAUAUUGUAGAUUACAUAGAAAAAACAAAAUAUUUGAUAACGCUUGCAUUUUUAACGUUUCAUUCAAAAGGAAUUUGAAGAAUCAUAAAAAUCAGGAUGACAGAGAAAAAAAGUGAGAGUUUGAAGGUCGUUUGAAUGAGCAUCCCUUGGAGUGUUAGGUGGUCCAAUUUGAGGAGGUGCUUCACGGUGAGAAAAAAAAGAAGAUAAAAAAGUAAGAGAAGUGCCGUACGUGUGUGUGGGGGGGGGGGAAAGGCAAGAGGAGGAACGUCAAAUUGAUCCAUAUUAAUAAGAACGGAGAUUCGCGUUGCCGGACUUUUGCAUAAAUUUGAAUCGGCCCUCAUACAGCUCGCGGCAAGGGUUGCGAAUUUGAAUAAUCGAGAAUAAUUUCGAAGUUUUCUCGUGCAAACGCGAGGUAGCGUGCGCGGGUCCGCGACUACGGGGACGUGAUCAGCCGACGUUUCGAAAUAUUUCCUAGUGUAACGCUUUUAUCUCUUAUUUUACCUCACUUCCUCGUAUUAGAGUACCAUCCAUCCAACCACCACAGUGCCAUCUCGUUCCGUCCGGUAGAUGUAGGUAAUUAACCGCAUGCACCAGCCGGAAUUGGAAAAAUACAGAACGCUUUAGAAAUCAGGCUGCGUUUCCGCUGUGUUUGUGGUUUUAAUAAAUUUUACGGACACCCGCGCCUACCU
rnacentral:lncRNA from 1 species